ACGUGGAUUUUUUAAAUAUCAUAAUUCAAAAAAAUGAUUUUUCCCAUACAAAUUUGUAUGGAAAAUUGAACCGCUUUGCGCAAAGUGGGAACUUAACCAAUCGUUACCAAACUUUUGGGAGUUGUUUAGGACCCCAAAAGGAACUAAAAUAAUGCUGUGCUGGAAAAUCGAUUUUGAUAUUACACCCUAACGGGACAUGCUCAUGGCUUCAGUUAGCAUGUUUGGGUUGAUUUAAAAAUCUUUAGAAUUUUUGAAAAUGUCCGAUGUUUAGUAUCGCAAAAAGUUUUUUUUCGAUGAAAUUAAAAAAAAAGGUAUUUAGGUAAUUGUCAUUAUUUUUGUUCGUUUGCCUCACAUGGUUUGAAAUCGUGUUUAAAACAAACAUUAAAAAAAUCAAAAGCAAAAUUUCUGAUAAAUCGGUUUGCAAAAUUUUCUCAUUUACCUUCAAUACAAUAUUUAAAAAAGCAAAAUAUUGGAAAUUUUUAGAUUUUUGAAAAUAUUUUUUUCAACCGUGGACAAACACGGGCAUUACAGUCCAGACUCGGUUAUCCGAAAGCCUCGGAAAAAAAUCACUUCGGAUAAUCUAAUCACGCAAAAAAAAUGUGUUGUCUUAUUUUUAAAUGUAGAGCUUAAGCAUGACCCCUUAACUACUCAAAAGUGAUUUAGAAUUUUUAAAUCCAAGAUGGCGGCCAAAAUGGCGGUGAUGAAAUAUUUUUAAAAAAAUGCAUUUGGUAGUUUUUAAGGCAAUCAACAAUUCAAGUUUGAGUGAAAAAGGGUCGCAGAAUUCGAAUUUGAUGUUAAAAGUAAGAAAACGAGAAAACGUUUUUUUUUUGUUCGUGAUUCGCUUAUCCCAAGUCCCAUACAAACCUACGGAUAAUCGAACUUCGGAUAAUGGAAACUUCGGUAUUUUGAAAAAAAAAUAUUUUUUCUAGAAAAGUUACCAAGUUAAUGGCUAUAAUUUGAAAAUGGUGCACUUUAACUAAAUAUAACUAUGUUCUUUUAGAUUGUGAAUUUAAUUUUACAUUGAAAAUCACAAGCAAUCUGAUUUUUCAGAUUAUUUUUAAAAAAAUCACUAAUAAACCAAUAAUCCCCUGGAACAUAUAAACAAAUAUUUAAAAAUGUUGUAAGUUUUGAAAAUCAACUUUUAGUGUCAAAUUUAAAAAAAAAAAUCAGUAACUUAUUUUUAUUUGAUGAAGUCCUCAUUUAUACCUUAAACUUUUCUGAAGACAGCAAGUCAUUAAAAAAAUCCUUCACAAGAUACAGAUUUUCGUAUAGACAGCUGCCAAAUUUGUAUGGAAAGUGAUAUAAACAAAUUGUAAAAUAGCUUCUUUGGGCAUACGGAAGGCUUCCAAAAAGUUGAAGCCAUAGAAUAAAAUGGAAAAAAUCGGAUGACCGAUUUGCUCAAAAUAGUAGUUUAUGCAACAAGUUGCAAAAAGAAGAUUUUUUCAGCACGAGUUGUACAUUUAUCCAACGAGGUUUACCGAGUUGGAUAAAUACGACGAGUGCUGAAAAAAUUAAGUUUUGCAACGAGUUGCUUACAACAUUUUUUGCAAUUCCGAAAAACGCUUAUUUAAUGGAAUUUUAUGUCAAACAUUCAUGUGUUUAGUAAAUUCAUCGUUCAAAACAAAACAAUAUUGAAAAAUGUUACUUUUCGAUACUAGUGCUGAAAAGUAUUAAUUUUCCAUUCUGUUAUUUUUGGUAGGGAAAAGUAGGCCGUUUCGUUUCUCCAGAA